rnacentral:rRNA from 1 species
CCUACGGGGGGCUGCAGUAGGGAAUCUUCCGCAAUGGACGAAAGUCUGACGGAGCAACGCCGCGUGAGCGAAGAAGGUCUUCGGAUCGUAAAGCUCUGUUGUUAGGGAAGAACAAGUACGGGAGGAAAUGACCGUACCUUGACGGUACCUAACGAGGAAGCCACGGCUAACUACGUGCCAGCAGCCGCGGUAAUACGUAGGUGGCAAGCGUUGUCCGGAAUUAUUGGGCGUAAAGGGUGCGUAGGCGGCCCUUCAAGUCAGAGGUGAAAGGCUACGGCUCAACCGUAGUAAGCCUUUGAAACUGUAGGGCUUGAGUGCAGAAGAGGAAAGCGGAAUUCCACGUGUAGCGGUGAAAUGCGUAGAGAUGUGGAGGAACACCAGUGGCGAAGGCGGCUUUCUGGUCUGUAACUGACGCUGAGGCGCGAAAGCGUGGGGAGCAAACAGGAUUAGAUACCCUUGUAGUC